UUGGUGGGCGAGUGGCGAACGGGUGAGUAAUAACAUCGGAACGUGCCCUGUAGUGGGGGAUAACUAGUCGAAAGAUUAGCUAAUACCGCAUACGACCUGAGGGUGAAAGCGGGGGACCGNAAGGCCUCGCGCUACAGGAGCGGCCGAUGUCUGAUUAGCUAGUUGGUGGGGUAAGAGCCUACCAAGGCGACGAUCAGUAGCUGGUCUGAGAGGACGAUCAGCCACACUGGGACUGAGACACGGCCCAGACUCCUACGGGAGGCAGCAGUGGGGAAUUUUGGACAAUGGGGGCAACCCUGAUCCAGCAAUGCCGCGUGUGUGAAGAAGGCCUUCGGGUUGUAAAGCACUUUUGUCCGGAAAGAAAUGGCCUGGGUGAAUACCCCGGGUNGAUGACGNUACC
rnacentral:rRNA from 1 species